GGGCCUUAGCUCAUGGAUAGAGCAUCUGCUCUGAAUGCAGAAGGCCCCAGUAUCAAUCUCUGGCAUCUCCA